UAUGGCCGGAGCGGGGGUUCGCGCCUCGAAUUUGUCCCUGUUCCUUGAUGCGGGCGUGCAGGAAGUCCACAGUUCUGCCGGAGUAUGGCUGGCUUCACCUAUGCGUUAUCGCAAUUCGGGGUUGUCGAUGUCUUCGGAUACGCAGGCGGAUGAAUAUUCUCGCUAUGCGGUAGACGGGGCGGCGGUUGCUGAAAUGAAGGCAAUCAUUGCGCGCCACCAGGCCAGCUGAUUUUUACCGUUGCAUCAUGUCGCCCAAUAUGAUGCUUGCUCGUACCAGGCCCCUGCAAUUUCAACAGGGGCCUUUUUU
rnacentral:ncRNA from 1 species